rnacentral:rRNA from 1 species
ACGGGGAGCAGCAGGCGCGAGUGAUAGGAAUUGGCGGGGGAGCAGCAGGCGCGAAACCUUUACACUGCACGACAGUGCGAUAAGGGGACUCCAAGUGCGAGGGCAUACAGUCCUCGCUUUUUCCUACCGUAAGGAGGUAGGCGAGUAAGAGCUGGGCAAGACCGGUGCCAGCCGCCGCGGUAAUACCGGCAGCUCGAGUGAUGGCCACUAUUAUUGGGCCUAAAGCGUCCGUAGCUGGCCGAACAGGUCCGUCGGGAAAUCCGCUCGCUCAACGAGCGGACGUCCGGCGGAAACCAGUCGGCUUGGGACCGGAGGACCCGAGGGGUACGUCCGGGGUAGGAGUGAAAUCCUGUAAUCCUGGACGGACCACCGGUGGCGAAAGCGCCUCGGGAGGACGGAUCCGACAGUGAGGGACGAAAGCUUGGGUCACGAACCGGAUUAGAUACCCGGGUAGUCCAAGCUGUAAACGAUGCUCGCUAGGUGUGGCACUGGCUACGAGCCAGUGCUGUGCCGUAGGGAAGCCGAGAAGCGAGCCGCCUGGGAAGUACGUCCGCAAGGAUGAAACUUAAAGGAAUUGGCGGGGGAGCAC